rnacentral:rRNA from 1 species
AUUGAACGCUGGCGGCAGGCCUAACACAUGCAAGUCGAACGAGUGGCGGACGGGUGAGUAAUGUCUGGGAAACUGCCCGAUGGAGGGGGAUAACUACUGGAAACGGUAGCUAAUACCGCAUACCAUGGGAUGUGCCCAGGUGGGAUUAGCUAGUAGGUGGGGUAACGGCUAACCUAGGCGACGAUCCCUAGCUGGUCUGAGAGGAUGACCAGACACACUGGAACGGAGGCACGGUCCAGACUCCUACGGUAGGCCGCAGUGGGGAAUCUUGCACAAUGGGCGCAAGCCUGAUGCAGCCAUGCCGCGUGUAUGAAGAAGGCCUUCGGGUUGUAAAGUACUUUCAGCGAGGAGGCGUUACUCGCAGAAGAAGCACCGGCUAACUCCGUGCCAGCAGCCGCGGUAAUAC